UAAAUGAAAGCCAAAUUAGAGGCACCUAGCUGUUAAUUAGGAGAGUGUAAUUAGAUUACUCAUUUAG
rnacentral:tRNA from 2 species